AAACAUUUUCUCCUGAGCUAUACUCUUAAUCUCUAUUUUAAACAUUUCUAUCCAAGUCUACAAUUUUCUUCAAAAACAAUCCAUAGUGAGCUUAGGAAGAUAAACAAUACUGAAUUGGUAAAAUUGUUACUACUUGACUUGAAUAAUAAGAGAUUUCUUAUUUGCUACAUAACCAUUUAACCUAUUUUUAAAAGAGUUCCACCCGAAAUGCAAAUCUUUCAUAAAUCAAAUCAAAUAUACCCACUUCAAAAUUUUGUUACUAAACACAGUUUUACAUAAACAUUAUUUACCUUUAAAGUAGCAUAAUAUUUUUUGUUUGUAUGUACACGUGGGGUGCUGUCAGAUAGGGGAAAGAAAAUAUAUAAGAUUUUUUAAAAUAUAGAAGAAUGUAAAACUAUAAUUUAUUGGGAUGGAUCAAUAUUAAAAUUACUAUGAUUCAAUAAAGGGCAGCAUAAAACAGUUGUUUUUAUGUUUGUGAACACACAUGUGGUAUAUGUGUGUGUCCAGGAGUGUACUCUUCCAUGUACAGAGAAGGCAGAGGUUGGCUUAGAUAGUUUCCUCUGUUGUUCUCCACCUUAUUUUUAAAAAGUCACUACUACUCUCUGCCUGUUCCUUUAGAGCACAGUCUUUCCCUGAACCUAGGGUGCAUGUUUUCUAGGCUAAAAUGGAAGCCAAAAAGCCACAGUAAUUGUCAUGUUUUUGUUUUUCACCCCAGAGCGGGAGUAGCAGGCAUCAGGGAAUACCCUGCUUGAUAAGUAGGUGACAGAAUCUAAGCUCUGGUUCUCCUGCUUACACAGCAAGCACUCUUUUACUGCUGUGCCUACUCCCUAACUCCUUUACGCAUGUUUGUGUGGAAUGUGUGUAUGUAUACACAUGAAUGUGUGUGUGGGUGCACAUAGGUACAUAUGAUGUAGAGGUGCAAGGUUGACAUCUUUAGUUUUAGCUUGAUCAUUUCCCACCUUAGUCAUUGAGCUUUAUAGUAAGGCUUGUCUAUGUAGCCAGCUUUCUCCAGGCUGUCUGUACUUUCUGGGCACUGAAGUGGAAAAUAGGCUACUAUAUCCAUUUGGUGUUUACCUAGGUCCUGGUAGAAAAUUUAUGAUGUUGAGUCCCUUAGUGUGGAUAGAAGGAUAGAGACAGUGAUUUACAAAGUAACUGAGAAUAUUUAUGUUAGAUUUUUUUUAUGUGUUUGAAUUUUUUAUAAAUUUUGAGUUCAGAAUCUUUGGUAUAAAACUGUCAAUAUGACAGAAUUGAAAACUAGAAAAAUGAGAUUAUAUGAAGGAUAUAAUUGGUCUUGUGGGUACUCAAGGGCUAAAUUGUUAGUUUCAGAAAUGAAUUAGAACAAAUAAUUAGAAAGUUAUUAGGAAUUCAUUUUUCAUUAAUGAGAGCUUUUUGAUUUUGAGCUUCUCAUUCCAUGAAUCCUGUCUUCUAGUCUUGCGUAUUUUGAAGAGAGAUGAUUGAUUAGCUUCUUGGCAUGCAUGCAGCAGUGUUCCUGGUAAGUGGAUAUAUGGAUAUAUGAAGGGAAGCACCCCUUCAGAUGGGAGGACAGUGCUGAGAACAGGUCUGCUUGUUAUACAUACCUACCAGCCAAGCCAUAUUCUGCCGUAGGAUUUGCAUAGAGGCGUGCUAUGGAUUAGUGGUGACUUUUUAGAGAAGUCACUGUGAAGGAGGAAGCUAUUCUAAAGAGGCGUGGUAUGUUUUUUUGAACAUAGCAUAAUGUCUCCAGGCUUUAUCCCUGCUGUAGCAUAUACCAGUACGCUAUACUUUUUUAAAAAAUAGCUAAGUGAUACGCCAUUGUAUGGAUGGGGCAUUUGAUUUAUCUUUUGGUUAUUGAUAAGUCUUUGGGCUGCUUGAACAUUUUGCUCUCUGUAUAAUGCUGUUACACUACUGUUGUUUUGUUUUGUUUUGUUUUGUUUUUUGAGACUAUUUGUUUAGUGUGGUUAUAUAGUAACUGUGUUUUUGGUUUUUUGAGACAGGGUUUCUCUGUAGCCCUUGUCUGUCUUAGAACUCAAUAUUUUACUGGGAAUAAAGGUGUGUGCAACCAUGCCCAGCAGUAACUGUGUUUAAUUUUUUAAAUCUGUUUCCCAAACUGGCUGUACCAUUUUAUAGUUCUAUCAGUAAUGUACAAGAAUUCUAGUUUCUCCACAUCUUCUGUAACAUUAAUUUCUGUCUUGAUAAUUCCUCUCCUGGCAUAGUGUUGAGUUGCUGGGGGUUUUGAUUUGUAUUUUUCUAAUGACUAAAGAUGCUAGCAUUUUUAUGUGCUCUGGUUUUUUUGUUUACUUUUAGAGAAAAACCUGUUCAAAUUCUCUGCCUUUUUGUCUCUUUGUCUGUCUCUGUCUGUCUGUCUGUCUUUGAGAUAGGAGUUCUAACUACUGGUCAAUAUCCUUAUAUAGCUAAGGAUUAACUUGAAUUUAUAAUAUACCACAAGGAUGUGCGACCAUGCUUAGUUUAUGUUGUGUUGAGGAUUAAACCCAGGGCCUCAUGCUAGACAAAUACUUUAUUAACAGAGAUGUAUCUCUGCUCAUCUUGUGAUUUCAAUUUGUUGAAUUUUAAGAGUUCUUUAUAAUAUAGAUACAAAUUCAUUAUCAUAUAGAUGAUUUAAAGGCAUAUCUCCAGUCCUGUGGGGGGUCUUUGCAACUUUCUUGUAAUAAUAGUAUUCUUUUAAAUUAUCAAGAGUGUCUCUAGUGUUUGUUUUGUUCUUGGAGGUGAUAUUUGAUGGUUAAAUUAGUUUCUUAACUGCUAAGAUAGUUCUGCCUGUAAUGUUGUAAAAUUUUUUCAAGAAUGAAUGUUCAUUUUUGUUUAUGUAUGUUAUUUGAUAUUUAGGGAGAAAGUUCAUUUUCCUUCUUUUGUAUCUGGUUUUGAGAUCUAUAGGUAAUACCUUCUUCAUUCAUCUUGGCACUCCUUAGUUAGACUUUAUUGUUGUUGUCCCAUGAUGUAGGAUUAAAACAAACAACAAGGAAUGACAAAUCUAAGGUCUUCUGUGUUGCUUAGGUAGCUUUUAACAUCCGAACUCAGAUGAUACUUUCAGUUGUUCCUCUUGAAAGUUGGGAUAUGUACCACACCAGGCUGUAAUUUAGGAUUUUCUGAUUUUUUUUUUUUUAAAUACGAAGUCUCCUUGAAUAAUCCUGAUUGGCCUUGAACUUGUCAUCCUCAGACUCUGUUGAUGCAUUCUUGAGUCUGCAUGUUAAAGUAGUAGUUUAUGCUAACUUUGAUAGAUAUCAGUAUCAGAGUUAUAUUGAUACUUGAUAUUGAAUUUAUAAUAAUGAACUAGAAAAUGAGAUUUAAUGUUACAUUUUUAUAAAAAUCUAUGCAUAUUUUCAAACUACUAUUUGAAUAUAGCAAUUUACUUUUUUUUCCUCUGUACUGAUAAAUGCCCAUUCUCAUUUCUUCUGGUGUGUUUGUGUUUGUUGAGUCUUCUGAGAAAUUGUCUAUCUUUUGAGCUUGCAAGGGAUCCUAAGCUGGCUCAACUCAAAUUUUUCCUGCUUUGGCCUCCCUGGGAUUACGAGUCCAUAAGGUACAUGCUACCACUUCUUGCACACACACCCUCAAAAGUAUUUGUGUGUGUGUGUGUGUUGGGAGUGCUAGAGUAAGUAUUCUACUCCUUAGUUACAUUCCUGGCCCUUCUCUCUGUCCUUCUCUAUUUUUGUGAGCAUAGUGUGUGUUGUGUGGGUGAAUGGGGGAUGGAGAAUUGCUUAUGAGACCAGCGGAAGAUGUUGCGUUUUCUGCUCUAUCAUUCUCUGCCUUAUUUGAUCCCAUGAGAAAGGUCUUCAACUGAGCUUGGACACAGGUGGUGGCCAGCAAGCCUGUUUCCACCUCCCCCAGCACUAGGGUCAAGGUGUGCAUGGCCACCUGGCUUUUAACAUGGAUGCUGGAGUCACAGUUCUGUUCUCAUGCUUUUGCAGCAAAUGCUUUUACCUGCUGAACGCUUCAGAAUCUCCACUUCUAGUCUUAAUGUUUACAUUCUCCUGUCUUAACCAGAGCCAUUCAUUGCUUUUAUUCUUUCCUCUCCUCUUUCCUCCUUUCAUUCCCCCUUCCCCUCCCUCCUUUCUUUCCAACAGCACUGGCAAUUGAGUGUAGGGCUUUACACAUUCUCGUCAAGUGCUCUAAGCUGUGUUCUUGGAUCGUUUAAAAAAUAUAUAUAUAUAUAAAUUUAUAUAUAUAUAUAUAUUAUAUAUAAAUAUGUAAUAUAUAUAUAUAUAAUAUAUAUAAUUUUUUUUAACUUUAGACUGUGCUGUUAACUUACACCCUGACACCAUCCUUGUUUUGUAGCCCAGGCAGCUCUUGGGCCUGAGUUCUUCUGCCUCUAUCUCCUGAACAUCUAAGCCUGUUCUCAGUACUUUCUCUCCUAAUUGUCUUAGUCCCUUUAUUAAAUGGAAGUAUUUGGUAGAGAGUUAGAUAGAUGCAAGUUUGAGUUUAGUAAGUGACUCACUUCAGUGUAGUUGGCAUGGCUGUGGACUGCAGUCUGUUCUCUGAGCUCUCCUUUGAAUGUUUAGCUUCAGUUAUAGUAAUUGGUACUAUGAGAAUUGAGGCUUGCCUGAGACUGGACUAAUAGUCACAAGCAGUCUUCCUUUUUUUUUUUGCCCUCGAUGACUUCUUAGCUAUGGGAGGCCUUCUAGACAGAAAGCAAGGAGGGGGUAGUGAGGAAUACUUACUGCCCAUAGCAGCAGCUCUGCUCCUGUCUCCCACUGAGAAGAGCAGUGGCUCAGAGCUCCUCAUUCAUCUUCUAGGAGGAGCUUCAGAGCAGCCUUUGUGUUCUUCUCAAACUCCUGUCACUUACAUCCCACGGAAGACUUUGAUAAUAUAGCAUUCCUAUUAUUGGGAUUUGCUCUAUCCCUGUAUUAUUCUUCUUGUUCUUCCAGCGGAUUUCUCAAAACACCUAUCUUUAAACAUGUCCUGCCUUCAGUCAAUUUGGCGGACAAGUUGGAACCCAAACUAAGAUGCAUCUGCUUAUCAUACUUAAUAUUGUAUCUGUUUGGAAAAUUUUCAAUUACAUUUCUUUUGACUGGUACCUAAAAACAUACAAUUGUACAUGUUAAUGGAAUAACAAAUUUUUGAUAUGGAUAUACUGUAUAAUCUUUAGUCAGGUUACACAUAUCUGUCUCCAAACAUUUAUAAUUUCAUAUGUAUAGUAAAAACUUUAAAAAUUCUUUGUUCUGGCUAAAUUGAGCAAUCACUGGGCUAGGUUUAGAUGUAUAAAAGAGGAUUAAGGUCUAUGUUACUAGUUGAGAGGGGCUGGACAGAGCAUUAACAAGCAAAGGGGACUAGCAUGCCCCGUGUAAUGACAGAUCUGGGAUGUGUGUAUUUCCAAGGGAAAUGGCAUGGGGGAUGACAGAGAUGGCUCAGUGGCAGAGUUCUUAGUGUUGUGCUAGAGGAUGUGAGUUUAUUUCCCAGUGCCCACAUUGGGUGGCUCACAAUUAGCUGUAAUCUAGCUCCUGGGAUCUGACAUCCUCUGGACCUCUACAGGCAUGUAUACACAUAUAAAUUAAAAUAAUAAUG
rnacentral:lncRNA from 1 species